GAUGAAGAACGUAGCGAAAUGCGAUAGGUAAUGUGAAUUGCAGAAUUCAGUGAAUCAUCGAAUCUUUGAACGCACCUUGCGCUCCUUGGUAUUCCGAGGAGCAUGCCUGUUUGAGUGUCAUUAAUAUAUCAACCUUCUCUUUUUUGAGUUGUUUGGAUGUGGGGGUUUGCUGGCCUCUUAAAUGAUUCAGCUCCCCUGAAAUGCAUUAGCAGAACAACCUGUUCAUUAGCGUGAUAAUUAUCUAUGCUAUUGAAUGUGAGGGCAGUUCAGCUUUCUAACCGUCCUUGGACAAUUCAUCAUUAAUGUGACCUCAAAUCAGGUAGGACUACCCGCUGAACUUAAGCAUAUCAAUAAGCGGAGGA
rnacentral:misc_RNA from 1 species